rnacentral:piRNA from 1 species
UGAUAUUCUUGUCUAGUCCCUUGAAGCACA